GACGAACGCUGGCGGCGUGCUUAACACAUGCAAGUCGAACGGAAAGGCCCUGCUUUUGUGGGGUGCUCGAGUGGCGAACGGGUGAGUAACACGUGAGUAACCUGCCCUUAACUUUGGGAUAACUUCAGGAAACUGGGGCUAAUACCGGAUAGGAGCUCCUGCUGCAUGGUGGGGGUUGGAAAGUUUCGGCGGUUGGGGAUGGACUCGCGGCUUAUCAGCUUGUUGGUGGGGUAGUGGCUCACCAAGGCUUUGACGGGUAGCCGGCCUGAGAGGGUGACCGGCCACACUGGGACUGAGAUACGGCCCAGACUCCUACGGGAGACAGCAGUGGGGAACAUUGCACAAUGGGCGGAAGCCUGAUGCAGCAACGCCGCGUGCGGGAUGACGGCCUUCGGGUUGUAAACCGCUUUCGCCUGUGACGAAGCGUGAGUGACGGUAAUGGGUAAAGAAGCACCGGCUAACUACGUG
rnacentral:rRNA from 1 species